AUCGCGACCCUGCAGCGCAGGUAUAAGAAUGCCGCCGGCACGGUGGAAGGCGGUACUCCAGCCAUGGCUCUCCGGUCCCGCUCCGCACUGCUGCUGCUUCUGCUCGUCCUGGUGGUCGUUCUAGCGGCGUUGACGGACGUCGCUUGGGCGUCGAGACCGCUCUACUUCCCCAAGCUCAAGGUCAACGCCUGCCCUCCGGGAUCAAAAUUCUUCGGCGGCCGUUGCAGAGUGGUCAUCCACUGAGAUUACUGUUAGUAAUGCGGGCUAUCGUCGAUGCUCGGGAUGAAGACGCAGAUGUUCUUCACUCCAGGUCGCAGCACCGAUACUAGAAACGUGUGCACUUGCUGCAGAUCACUGUAGCCAACAAAUGGCCGCAGAGCAACUUCUGCAGUUAUUUAUUUCUAGGUGAAGUGCAAAAGAAACAAAAAAUACAAAUAGCCAUAAGUAUUUAUUGUAUGAUGUCAUGUAAAAUACGUACUGUAUUUCGUAUUUUAAUAUUGUGUGUUUCCAUUAAAAGUGUAAUUAUUGAAA
rnacentral:lncRNA from 1 species